AUAAUUCUUAGCCCCCACUCCUGCGGAGAAUUUCUAAUUCCACAGGCCUGGAGUGAGCCUGAAGAAUUUGUAUCUUCGGCAAGUACUCUAGAUGUUGCUGAUGCACGUAGUGGGAAUUCUGCUUCUUGAAACGCUUGGUGGUUGUGAUUCUGAGUUUGAAUCCCUGAUUCCAUCACUGCGAGCUUUGUGAUGUGAAACAGGACAAUGGAGGGAAUAUGAAAAAGAACAAGAUAAAGAAGAAGAGGAGCAGGAACACAAAAGGCUUCAAAGCUCCAGGUGUGAACAGAGAAGGAGGCUGUUGUCUGGGAAAUGCUGAGCAGAAGCAUGUAAAGAAGGAGGAAGGGUGUACAAUUGUAGUCACAAGUCAUCAAAAGCCCUGUUGGCUAGGAGUCCUCACCAGCUAAUGACCCUGUCUGUUGACUGCCCAGAGUAACUGUCCCAGCUUCAACGCACCAAAGCUCUGAUAUACUAUGAAAAUUGAUGCCAUCGUCACAGUGGAUCAAGAAGCAUGCAGACUAUUUUCUUGUCAAACUGAUGACCUGCUUCUGUAGCACUUCAUAUUGGUGUCUUCCAGGCCCCAAUGGCAGAGCUCUAGAAAUAUCCAAAGGAUGUAGAUAUCAAUAUUGGAACACAAGGCUCUCUGCUUUAUGUAACAGAGGAGGUCUACUGGAAACAUCAAGAAUUUCUUGGAUCAUAGACCAUUACCUAUGCUUUCUUUUGCCACCCUAUUGCCAAGAGCAGCAAGUUUUACCAUUCCUUAUUUCUGAGAAGUUGGUGUUAAAAGGAAGAUAAAGGUAUGUUUACCUACAUUUCAGUUUCAGUGAAAGCCAAGAACAAUACAGCAGGUUUCAAGUAUUCUAGAUCUCAUGGCAAAGGUGCUUGA
rnacentral:lncRNA from 12 species